AUUGAACGCUGGCGGCAGGCUUAACACAUGCAAGUCGAGCGGAGCGAGGGUGCUUGCACCUUAGCUUAGCGGCGGACGGGUGAGUAAUGCUUAGGAAUCUGCCUAUUAGCGGGGGACAACAUUCCGAAAGGAAUGCUAAUACCGCAUACGCCCUACGGGGGAAAGCAGGGGAUCUUCGGACCUUGCGCUAAUAGAUGAGCCUAAGUCGGAUUAGCUAGUUGGAGGGGUCAAGGCCUACCAAGGCGACGAUCUGUAGCGGGUCUGAGAGGAUGAUCCGCCACGCUGGGACUGAGACACGGCCCAGACGCCUACGGGAGGCAGAAGUGGGGAAUAUUGGACAAUGGGCGGAAGCCUGAUCCAGCCAUGCCGCGUGUGUGAAGAAGGCCUUUUGGUUGUAAAGCACUUUAAGCGAGGAGGAGGCUACUGGUACUAAUACUACUGGAUAGUGGACGUUACUCGCAGAAUAAGCACCGGCUAACUCUGUGCCAGCCGCCGCAGUAAGAC
rnacentral:rRNA from 1 species